GCAACUGUGGGAUCAUUCGGGCGACCCCUCGAGAGGAAUCCCGGUGGAUCACGCCCUCACCGGCGUGGUGAAUCCGGAGCGGUCCCGCCACUGUGAGCUGACGUCCCACCGACGAACAGCAAGCCAGGACGUCUCGAGUCGUCCCGCCCGCC
rnacentral:ncRNA from 2 species